rnacentral:sRNA from 15 species
GCCGCCCCUAGCUCGACGGAGCGAAAAGCCGGACACCCUGCCGGCCUGGGGCGGUGCCUCUUUUCAGGG